AUUGAACGCUGGCGGCAUGCCUUACACAUGCAAGUCGAACGGUAACAGGUCUUCGGACGCUGACGAGUGGCGAACGGGGUAGUACUACAUCGGAACGUGCCUAGUAGUGGGUGAUAACUACUCGAAAGAGUGGCUAAUACCCCAUGAGAUCCACGAAUGAAAUCAGGUGAUCGCAAGACCUCGUGCUACUAGAGCGGACGAUGGCAGAUUAGGUAGUUGGUGGGAUAAAAGAUUACCAAGCCGACGAUCUGUAGCUGGUCUGAGAGGACGAUCAGCCACACUGGGACUGAGACACGGCCCAGACUCCUACGGGAGGCAGCAGUGGGGAAUUUUGGACAAUGGGCGCAAGCCUGAUCCAGCAAUGCCGCGUGCAGGAUGAAGGCCUUCGGGUUGUAAACUGCUUGUGUACGGAACGAAAAGCCCUGGGUUAAUACCCUGGGGUCAUGACGGUACCGUAAGAAUAAGCACCGGCUAACUACGUGCCAGCCGCCGCGGUAA
rnacentral:rRNA from 1 species